CCACUUUAAGCUUUCUUCUAAGACCCCUGUGGUGGUGAUGAAUUCCUUUUUGCUUUUGCUUGUCUGAAAAUCUCUUUAUCAUUCCUGAAAUUCUGAAUUGAAACACUGUGGGGCACUGUAAUUCUUAGUUGAAAGUUUGGAAGGUUUUUUUCCUUUCAUUACUUUGAGCAUAUCCUGACACUCCCUUCUGGUCUGCAAAGCUUCUCCAGAAAAUCUGUUGAUUGUCUAAUGGGGGGAAUCUCUUUUACAUAACAAAUUGUUUUUCUCUUGAUGCUUUUAAAAUUCUUUCCUGUCUUUAACUUUUGAGAUUUUAAUUAUAAUGUGCCUUGGUUUGAGUCUCUUCAGGUUCUUAUUUGGAACUCUCAGGGCUUCCUGGAUCUGGAUGUCUGUUUCCUUCCCCAAGUUAGAGAAAUUUCAGCUAGCUGUUCUUUCUUCACGUGAGCUUUCUGCCCCUUUCCUCCUUCCUCUGGAACCUUGUAAUGCACAUGUUGGACUGUUGGAUGUUGUUUCAUAAGCCCUAUAAGUUACCUACUUUUUUACACUAGGGUUGGGUUUUUUGUUUGCUUGCUUGUUUUUGCUGCUCUGAUUGGGUGAGUUCUGUGCUCUGUAUUGGAGUUUACUUGUCCUUUCUUCUUCUUCGUCUAGUUUACUGUUGAACCUCUCUGGUUAUUUUUCAGCUCAUUGAUUAUAUCUGCUAGCUGCCUCACAGAGGAGGCUCUACGUCAGCACCUAGAUUCAGGCUGAUUGUAAGACCCCUAGGGCAGCACCUUACAAAUACAUACAGUCCUACAGGACAGCAAGCAUUAAGUUCCAGGGGCUACCUACGCUGGGCACCUUGGAAGUGUCUCCUGAGUGUCAGUCACAAAAAUUGGGGUGCCAGACAACUGUAUGAGUUCCUUUCUGGAGGAUACCAGCAGUCUGAAGGAAGGCGGGUGGAGUGCACAGGUGGGCAUCUCCUGACUUCUGUCCCAGUACAGCAUCUUAGAAGCUCGCUCCCUAGGUGUUCGUCAAACCAAAAGCCUGCCCCUCGGGCCAGAGCUCCAGGACCAGCAAAUAGUCCUUUAUCACAGAGAGUGGGGGGCGGGGGUUGGUGUUAGCCGGUGUGUGGUGUGUGUGUGUGGUGUCCUGGAGUUUGUAGUAGGCCACAGUUGGCCUCCCCACCUGUUACAGUCCAGUGGGCCACAGGAAUGCAGAUCCUGCGGGCUACCAGAGCUAGGUGGUGAAGGGCCGUCCACUGGGUGGUAACUGUCCACAGCAGUCAAGGCCUCGGACAUAGAAACUGGUACCAGACCCGUAUACACACUGCCUCCUGGGCGAUGCUGGCACGCUAGAGCGUGGCAGAAGGAGAACACAAAGCUAGUCCUCUGAGGUCUUUGGAAAGGCUCACAGACGGCCCUCAGAUGUGUGCUGGCUUAGAAGUCUAGCCUCUGACGUAGCUGUGGAGAUGAGCUCGUGGGCCUCUUUCACAGGAAAACUAGGCUCGUCAGACUUGCCUAUGGCUGUGCUCUGGGAAUGGUAGCAGUUAAAAACUCGUUUCUCUGUUGGUUACAGUCAUGUGUGACCUGUGCUAAGCAAUCUAGAGGUGUCACCUCGUAGCACCUGCGAAAAUUGGGGCACCAGGUGAGGGUAUAAACUCCUUUCUGGGAGAUACGGACUCUAGGUGUGUGCCAAACCAGAGGCCUGCCCCUUUGGGCCCAUGCUGCCGGACAAGCACAUCACAGAGAGCCUGGGUGUUUAUUUCGGUCUGCUGGCUGUGCAGGACCCUGGCAGCCAGCCGAGAUCUUGUAUCUGAUUGAUAUAGUCGUGCGGGUCCCCGGCAUGCAGGCCCUGCUUGCCCCCAGAGCCAGGCGAUCAAGGGGUGUCCACUGGAUGGGUGCUUGCAAAAACUGGGGUGCCAGGUGUAAAAAUGGUAUGAGAGGCAAUGAAAAGCUCUCCUCUGAGAGAUACUGGUGCUCUGGAAGGCAGCGGCGGGGGCAGUGUGAAGGUGGUGCCGAGAUUAACCAAAUGUCCACUGGCCUCCAUCCUUGGAGAGUACCCAGCAGUCCCCCAGAUGUGUUAAGUGAGACGCCUGCCUCUCAAGCCGAUGCUUUUAAGAGCAGAAAGCCUCUUUGAUGUCAAGUCUGGCUGCUCCUGUGCUGGGCUGUAGUGUGAGGGAGAAGCCAGGGGCCUGAGGCCGGUCCGAGCCAUUUCUCAGUUUGCUCGCUAGCCUUUCAGGCCUCAUGCAUGCAAUCCUCAUUGGUUUCCAAAGCUCUAAGUUUUAGGGCCUUAUUUCUCAGGCGUGGGUCUUAAAAGUUGGGCUUCCCGAUAUGGGGUUCAAUGCUGGCGGUGGGAUUUUCAGCAAGACUGCUUCUCUGCCUUGCCUCCCCACCUUGGUGUGGGGGGUUUGCCCCACAUUACGAGUCCCUCUGCUUUUGUUUCUGUUUUCGGAGGAAAUCACUCCAGAUGUAGCUGUGGAUCUGGUGUGUCCAUGGAAGGGAGUGAGUUCAGAAUCUGCCUUAUGUCUCCAUCUUGAACUGGCCUUAUUCCUUUUAAUGGCUAAAUUAUAUUCCGUUAUCUCCAUAGCCCACAUUUUGUGUAUCCACUCCGCUGAUGGACGUUGAGGUGGUUCUGCCCUUGUUGGAUGUUGUGAGUGGUGCUGCGAGGAACCGCCAGACUGUUUCAGCAGUGGUUGCAGCGUUUCACGUUCCCACCAGCAGACAAUGAGGGUUCCGGUUUCUCCACAGUCCUUGUGAACACGUAUUCCCCGCCCCAUCCCUGGCCUUUUAGCACAGUUCAUAUCCUCUCUCCAGCUGCCUGGAUGUUGACAGACAAAAGCUGCUCAACGGAAAAGCCCUUCACAGGAGCCUCAAAGCUAGAAGCUCCUCCGCCUAGUGCCCAGUAUCCUGGAACAGCUCGCAAAAGCUCCAGCACCAUCAUUAGAAAGAAGACGAACCACAACCAUCAACUCCCUCAUCAUCUCAUCACUUCUCGGCCUUUGGGCUAAGCUCAAGCGUCCGCUGUGCCCCUGGGUUCUCAAGGGUUCAGGAGAAGCUAUGCUUUGAAGUAUCCCACGCCAUCCAGACAAGUCUAGAGCAGGUAAGCACGGAGGACUCCCCAAGGAAUGGAGAGAAAUGGCCCCUGAAAGAGUAAAUAAAGGCCCCAAGCUCCCCUAACUCUAAAGUCUGCACAAAAUAAGGUCAAAUCAUGAUAACUUGGAACUACCUGGGUUCUCCUGCUUCAUUUAAAUGUGAGGAAAGCUGUCUGAGGGGACAGUCAACUCCCAUUUCUCGCCAUCUGCCAUGUCUACUGCCUCUAGUUUUGCCUUUACUUACUUUA